AUGUUCAAGACCACUGUAUUUGAGCAGCCUUGGGGUAUAAGAUUGUAGAGAGCCCCUGGGGGAUCAAUUCCUGAAUAGAUGAACUCUCUCAUUCAUUAAACAUAUCUGCUAGACUCCACUUGGUGUCUUGGUGUUACAGAAAUAAGCAAAACAUAAUACCAGGCCUCAUGGAGCUUCUGAUAUAAUACAAGUUUAUUAAUUAGACUGGAGAAUGACACAGGCUAUAUUGGAGAUAUUAGUUGAUGCUGUUGGGGAAUGGAAGAGAAUAGCAUCCAACUCAGAGAAUGAGGGAGGGCUUUCCAGAUAAAAGAUGCUUGAAGUUUAUCUUUCAUCUCAUCCUCAGGACUCAGAACGUUUGGUGCCAAACCUUCUCCACUAAUUCACAGCUGAAACAGACAAAGCCAAUCUGAAGCCGGAAGGAAAAGGAGCCCAGUGGUACAAACUUCUGGGGCAAGAUUAGGAUGGAGAAGGAUGGAAAUGAAUCUAGAAGGCAAAUAGAGUAAGCAGCAGCCCAGCACAGAGGCCUCAAUGGACCAUGCACAAGACUCCAUAAACAAAAAUAGCCGAUUGGCUGAGAAUAACAGAAGAGACCAGAGAUGCAGAGAUGCCCUAAGAGAUCAUGCAGCCCAUAAGAGAGAGCAGAGCCUUCGCUCUGGAAUUGCUGCCAGCUUAGCAAUUCCAUUUUAGAUGUUUCCUGUACCUGAAGAUCCCUAUGUCCUUUACAGGCACUGUCUUGACUGAGUCUAAUUAUUUUAGACAAGUACUGUUGACUAAUAUUCCACUCCCUGCGGAGGCAGUUUCAGACAUAGUUUCCAAUGAUCCCUGCCCCUUGCAAGCUUCCCCUGGAGUAUAGACUAGACCUUAAUGACUUGCCUCUACCAUAGAGAAUACAGCAAAAGUGAUGGAAUUCCACUGUCAAAAUUGGGUUACAAAAGACUCUUGCCUACUUUUGUGCUUGCCUUCUCUUGCUGGCUCUGAUGAAGCAAGCUACCACUGCUGUAAGCUGUCCUAUGGAGAGACCCACAUAGUGAGGAACAGAAAGCAACUGUGUAACUGAGGUUCUCCGUGCAACAGCCCAUGAGGAACUGAAUGCGGCCAAACCAUGUGAAUGUACUAGGGGACAGAUCUUUCCUCACUGAGGCUUGAAAUCUGCUGCACUCCCAGCGUGAUACCUUGAUUGCAGUUUCUGUGAGAUAAUAAGAGUUGUUGUUUUACACCACUAAAUUUUGGAGUACAUCAUUUGUUACACAGCAGUGGAUAACUAAUACACUCCCAGAACAUGAUUGUUUCCUCUACAUGAGAGGCCCUAGGCCUGAGACUCCUGUCAGGCUGCACUGGGAGAUUCCAAGGAUGCUGAGCACCCUCUGAAUAGCUCUGAGACCUGUGAGAACCACCUAAAUGGAAGAUUCCUUUUUGGUCUAGCCACGGGUGAUUUCCAGGCCAAGAGCCUGAGUCUUUGCCUGCUAUUCAAAUCGAAUGCCACGUCUUACAGCCCAUAAGACCCCUUCUUCUGCCUUUCUGUUCUCUUCAAACUCUAGCUACAUUGUUGUGUCAUUGUUAAAUUUUCUUUGAAAAUUAUUUCAACUACUGUCAUGGGUUGUGGGAUAUUCAGCCCAUGUUCCUCCAUUUCCAAAUUGCUCCUGCUCCAGCUUGCAUGGAAAUGAUGGUUUGCACUAUUUCAGAAGUACUUUGAUUCUUUUCUUCAUCUAAUCUCUCCUUUAGGUUCCAUUCACUUAACUUUAGAAAGGUGAUUCUCAAAGGGAAGUUGAGUGGGGGACUUCAUAUAGCAAGAAAGGGGCAUAUUUUUCUUCUCCUUUGAACCAUAACCAUUUAAAGCAAUUAUAAUGCUAUGUAAUAAAGGAAAAACAUUUUAAUGAUA